rnacentral:rRNA from 1 species
AUUGAACGCUGGCGGCAUGCUUUACACAUGCAAGUCGAACGGUAACAGGUUAAGCUGACGAGUGGCGAACGGGUGCGUAAUGCAUCGGAACGUGCCCGAUCGUGGGGGAUAACGCAGCGAAAGCUGCGCUAAUACCGCAUACGAUCUGAGGAUGAAAGCGGGGGACCGUAAGGCCUCGCGCGAUCGGAGCGGCCGAUGUCAGAUUAGGUAGUUGGUGGGGUAAAGGCUCACCAAGCCGACGAUCUGUAGCUGGUCUGGGAGGACGACCAGCCACACGGGGACUGAGACACGGCCCAGACUCCUACGGGAGGCAGCAGUGGGGAAUUUUGGACAAUGGGCGAAAGCCUGAGCCAGCAAUGCCGCGUGCAGGAAGAAGGCCUUCGGGUUGUAAACUGCUUUUGUACGGAGCGAAAAGGCUCUCUCUAAUACAGGGGGCUCAUGACGGUACCAUAAGAAUAAGCACCGGCUAACUACGUGCCAGCCGCCGCAGUAAGAC